ACUGUUGUAAUCCUUUGUAUUAGCGUCAUGUAUAGUUCUUUCCAUUUGUUCCACUAUUAUAUAUUUUAGACUCUCAAAUAAAUAAACUGAAAAACAAGCGUGGCAUUCACAAAUUUAAGAAACUUCAGUGUCAAUCAGGUAUCUAAUAUUUUUCAUUAACUAUGGGUUUGACCCUGUUUUGUUCAGUUUAGUACUUAUGGGAGCUGUGUUGUGGAUAGAAGCAGGCACUACAGAUGUAUUCUAUUAUAUACAGCUAACAAAAACCAUUGUCAUGUUAAUGUUGUUCAGAUAAACACGUUUAUUUUGGAGAUUACCUGUAUGUGAAUAUAUCACGGCCGACAAAAGACGAAGUCUGUGACCUCCCUGUGCCUCCUCCUGCCCAGCGCCUCAGGGUGCUCGUGUCUGCAGACAUCCAGCAGCCACCAGCCUCCACCUGUCCAUCGCAGCUGAUGGGCACGUUUGUGAUGAACACAACCGCCUUCAGACUUGACGGUUGCUCCUCUGACAAACGUCAGCAAAUUAAAAUGGUUGACUCAUUACACCUGCAAAACAACUCUUCAGUUGCAGACAGCACGACACUCACCUGCAUCCAUUCAGUCUCGGAGGCCAACACUACCUACGUGUUAACGUAUGGAGGUACAAACCCGUCCUUCCACUUCGUGUGUCUUGCCGUUCAGUCCAGUGAUGACCAUCUGUACCUCACGCAGCAAGAUAAUGACUGUGACAGAGUUCAAACACCUUAUCUCAUUCUUUUGUCUUGACUCCUGAAACAUUGUGUCCCCUCCAACAGCCCCCGGAGACAACACCACACACCUCAGUGGAGACGGCGUCAGACACAAGCCUCGCCAUCGCCCUCGGUGUUGCUCUUCCUGUGGUGACUGUUGUCAUCGCUUCAGUCAUCAUUGGUUGUCUUCUUUGCAAGAAAAAGAAACUCGGACCGUGGAAAGCUGGCUGCGAGACACAUGCAGACCAACCAAGCGGUACUCAGGUCCAGGAACACCAAGAGCCAGUUCAGACCCCAGCACAGACUAGUAAUGAGUAACUAGUAAUUGUAAUUGUAAAUUGUUUUCUUAAUAUGUAAAGUAUACUUACAAACGAAUUGUCAAUAUUCAUUACAUUUUGUAAUUUUAUGCGGACAGCGAAUGUCAGGAAAGUGAAGACGUCCAGGAUCUGCCCCACUGUCUGCACAUUGUAGAGAUGAGUACAUGUGAAUAGUCGACUACAACUUAGAGACAGUCCAAUGUUUGUUCCCUACAACACAUUGCAAGUGUGAUGAAGUAGCUUUCGGCAGAAUAUGCAAUGUAUUGAACAGUGUCAACAGCUGUACAACUACAGUAACAUCCUCUAGAGUAGCAGGUGUAUACAAUACAUAGUACACCCACUGACAAACAGACACCAGUGGUGCUCUGUGCACUUUACUAUUCACGACAAGAUCGGUCACCCGUGGAAGUUGAUUGUUCCGACGAGCCAAGCCUCUCUGCCAACACUUCUAAACUGUUCAACCCAUCUUGACACAUCGUUGACAUCAACAUCAUCUCCGGUUUCUUAGCAACGUCCUGGCGCGAGGACUUCCAACCCAGUCAUGGUCAUCAGACUCUCGAAAGAACUAAAAUAAGUUUGGAUGUUACGAACAUCAGCACGGUUCUCAGUGACGAGCCACAGAGAGAAAGAGGGAGAAAUAGGGGACGUGAAACGGGUCUCCAUCUCUGUAGAUGCAGGCUGGUCGCUGGCCCUAGUUUUUGCUUCCUGAGUGGCAGUUGUUGUCCUGAUGCUGCUGAUGCUGCUGAUGCUGUUGUUGAACUGGCGAAGCUAGUGACUGGGCGAGUGUGCGAAGUGGUUUGUAUGAAUGUGUGCGCGUGUCAAUGGGGUUAUAGAAAAAAGAC